UUCAGGUGCCCAGGGCGGUGCCGAAUGGGACCGGGCUCUCCUUCCUGUGCGCGGGCGGACGGGGACAAUGGCUCCGACCUGGCCCAUGAAUCGCAGCCUGGGCUCGCCCUGCAAUCAGCUGUGCUGCUCACAGGAAACGAGCCACCUGCCCUGCUUCCUCUCAUUUAACUGGUUUAUUUUUAAGUGGAAAAGGCUGUGAGUUUUGUUCCUUUUUCUCAGGGACUUCAGGUCCCUGAAGGCUGCUGCAGAACAGUACAGGCAGCCUCGGGAGCCUGCCUGUGGGAACCACUUGCUGGUAUCUUCACGCAGCAGCACAGAACUAAAGCCAGGGCUAUCUGCAAGGUGUUCAUGGACCAAAAUACUGGGCACAGUGGCAGAAACUCCUGAAGUUAUCGGAGCCUCAUUCUGCCACGUUCACAAGGAGAGCAGUGGAAAAUGUAACUGAACAAAAAGGCAGGUCCUGGCACACUUCUGUAGCUGUGCUGUCCAAGGCUGCAUCUCUUGCUGCUGUUCGUGUGGUCCUGGUGAGCAGAGAGGCUCUCCAGCUGGGAGGCAGCACGACUGCCACCAGUUUGAUCUGGACUUUUGCUGACAUCUACAGUGAUAUCCCCUCCCCUGCAAUGCCUCCAGCCUGUACCACGUUGCUCCUUGUGAAGACAGCUGGCCUAACUCCAGCUGGGUGCUGUGGGUCCAGGUACGGUGCUGUGCCCAGGCGAGGUGUUCCUGUGAGGUAACACUGUUUCUGGGACCAGGCUGGGUUUGUCUGUGUGGCACAGCAUUGCAGUGUGUAGAUGUGCUAGUUUCUUUGUGUAUCUGGCUUGGGGAUCUCCAGCACAGCUCUGCAUUACAUGGUGUAAGCAUGCCUGUAUUUGCAAGACUCAAGAAGUAAUUAAUGACUAAGUAGAAAACUAAGGAAUGCAUGUACAGAUCCUUUCUUAGGGCAAUUCAAGGCCCAUCCAUGUUGACAAACCACUCCUUUUAUUCUCCUCUUUAUCUAUACUAAUUCACUUUAGUACCAAUUAAUCCACAUCUUUCAACUUGCUCACCCAUCCUCUUUAUUUUUUUUUUUUUUUAACCAUGUUAGAAUUGUUUCUGGAUGUGGUUCUUUAUCUUUCACUGAAGUACUGAAUUUCUGCCAACCCAAUGGUUCUCUUACAAAGAGGAAUGUCAAGUGUUUGAGAACAAUUAGCUUUAGUCAAAGGGAGAUUCAAAAAUAGCACACUGCCACAUGUAUAAGAACAAAACCUGUCGUAAUGGUAUUAGGGUGAACUUUAGCCAUAGUUCUAGCUAAAGAAUUUAUUUAUUAGACUUCUAUCUGCAGGGGAAGGGGAGGGAAAGAGGAGAGUUCCUGAGCCAUAUUUCCCAUUGGGUUCUGCUGGAAAAGGCACACACCAUUUCGCUUUAUCUCUGCAAAGCUGUGUACGUAGGUAAUUGAAGAGAAGGGUCUUACCUGCCUGCCCUUUGUCUUUGCGUGGUUAUCUCUGCAAAGCAAGGCUCUGCAGGUGCAGAAGACAGACUGGACUGAAUUUAAAAUUGCCAGCCUUAUCACUUCUGUGAUAUUUCCUCCAGAUUUACCAGGCUCCUGUGACUAAAAUC
ensembl:lncRNA